ensembl:lncRNA novel transcript
CUUUCCAACCUGGCUGUCUCAAAGGGAACCAGAUUAUGCAAGGCUUUGUGUUCCAGCUUAGGCUAAACCAAGAACAACUUUAUCCUAAGGUCAAGAGGAAAUAUUUGAUAGGUUCUAAAGAAGGGAGGAGGAAACUGAGACCCAGGCAGAAGAAUUUGUUCUUCAAACUGCGAAAGCAGAGCUACCCCAAUUCAUCCACACACAUAGUAUUUCAGAGAAAAAAAGAAAACCCUAUGAUGGCAAGCAGUCAUAAGGAUGAAUGAGUGGCUUGAUCUCGGCUCAUUGCAACCUUCGCCUCCUGGGUUCAAGCAAUUCUACCUGCCUAGCCUCCCGAGUAGCUGGGAUUACAGGCACCCUGCAUCACAACGGCAUCACGCAUUCGAAUUUAGUAUUUUAGAGUGAUCUUAAUAGGUUUUCUACCAGGUGAACUACGUGGUCAUGGAAGCACUGUUGAUGGUGUGGCACUACUGCCUGUUCUUCAAAGAAAAAUUCAAACCCCUAUUGCCGGCUUUGAAAAUGGAAGAAGAAUGCCCUGAUUCAAGGAAUGUAGUGGCCUCUAGCAUUUGGCAAGGAAGAAGGGAAGGAACACACCCUCACAGGCUCUUCCCUGGCUGCAUUCAUGCACUGUGUCCCGCUUCUCAGUGGAACCAGCUAUCAGCACCAUGGACAGAACCCGGGAGAUUGGGUCCUCAGAGCAAGUAAAAUGAUUCAGGAGUGUCUGGCCAAGGCACUAACUACAGAGAUUUUUAUUUCAUGUGAAUAAACAGUUUU